GAGGACUGUGAAGCAAUCGGGGCGAGGCCGGGUGUCUGUUCGACUAUGCCGCGUAUCCUGUUUCGUAGGCGGCGGACAGUGUUCUGUAAUGCGUCUCCCUUUGCCCGAGCUAAAGGUUUUCCUCGACGGAGUCUUUAGAAUACCGUGGCAGAGGCAGUCUCCACACCACUCUGCUCGAACAGCUCUAUGAAGAGGCCUAUGUGGAGAGGAGAAAAAGCCUCCACUAACAGCCAGCACCAACUUGUCAGCCAUAUACGAACUCUCGCUAUGUUGCCUCGGCUGGUCUCAAACUCCUGGGCUCAAGAGAUCCUCCCACUUCGGCCUCCCAAAAUGGCGUGUUGCUCUGUCGCCCAGGCUGGAAUGCAGUGGUGUGAUCUCAGCUCACUGCAACCUCUGCCUCCCGGGUUCAAGCAAUUCUUCUGCCUCAGCCUCCCGAGUAGCUGUGAUUACAGACGUGUGCCACAAUACCUGGCUAAUUUUUAGAUGGGGUUUUGCCAUGUUGCCUAUGCUGGUCUGGAACUCAUGAACUCAACAGAUUGUCCCACCUCCGCCUCUCAAAGUGCUGGGAUUACAGUAUGAGCUACUGCACUCGGCCUGCCCAAUUCUAGAACCGCAAUAAAGUCAGUUGAGAUCUUUG